GACCUAGUGGUGGAUGGAUCACACCUGCUCUCCUUGGACCUUUUACGUUCGAGAUUACAGCAGGAGCUCCCGGUUCGAUUCCGGGCUAGGUCA